rnacentral:tRNA from 1 species
CCCUCAGGUGGUGCAAUGGGUCAGUGCACCUGGCUGCUAACCAGAAGGUUGGUAGUUCGAGCCCACACAGGGA